rnacentral:rRNA from 1 species
UACGGAGGGAGCUAGCGUUGUUCGGAUAUACUGGGCGUAAAGCGCACGUAGGCGGCGUCGUAAGUCAGGGGUGAAAUCCCGGAGCUCAACUCCGGAACUGCCCUUGAAACUGCAAUGCUAGAAUCUUGGAGAGGCGAGUGGAAUUCCGAGUGUAGAGGUGAAAUUCGUAGAUAUUCGGAAGAACACCAGUGGCGAGGGCGACUCGCUGGACAAGUAUUGACGCUGAGGUGCGAAAGCGUGGGGAGCAAACAGG